rnacentral:lncRNA from 1 species
GCCCGCCAGGGAGGACUGCCCGCCAGGGAGGACGGUCCGCCAGGGAGGAUGGCCCGCCAAGGAGGACUGCCCGCCAGGGAGGACUGCCUGCCAGGGAGGACUGCCCGCCAGAGAGGACUGCCCGCCAGGGAGGACUGCCCGCCAAGGGAGGACUGCCCGCCAGGGAGAGGGACUGCCCGCCAGGGAGGACUGCCCGCCAGGGAGGACGGUCCGCCAGGGAGGACGGUCCGCCAGGGAGGAUGGUCCACCAGGGAGGACGGUCCGCCAGGGAGGACGGUCCGCCAGGGAGGAUGGUCCACCAGGGAGGAUGGUCCACCAGGGAGGACUGCCCGGACGGUCCGCCUGGGAGGAUGGCGCACCAAGGAGGAUGGCCCACCAGGGAGGACUGCCCGCCAAGGAGGACUGCCCGCCAGGGAGGACGGCCCGCCAGGGAGGAUGGGCACCAAGGAGGAUGGCCCACCAGGGAGGACUGCCCGCCAAGGAGGACUGCCCGCCAGGGAGGACGGUGCGCCAGGGAGGAUGGUCCGCCUGGGAGGAUGGCCCACCAAGGAGGAUGGUCCUCCAAGGAGGACUGCCCGCCAAGGAGGACUGCCCGCCAGGGAGGACGGCCCGCCAGGGAGGACGGUCCGCCAGGGAGGAUGGCCCGCCAAGGAGGACUGCCCGCCAGGGAGGACUGCCCGCCAGGGAGGACUGCCCGCCAGGGAGGACUGCCCGCCAGGGAGGACUGCCCGCCAAGGAGGACUGCCCGCCAGGGAGGACUGCCCGCCAGGGAGGACUGCCCGCCAGGGAGGACUGCCCGCCAGGGAGGACUGCCCGCCAGGGAGGACUGCCCGCCAGAGAGGACUGCCCGCCAGGGAGGACUGCCCGCCAGAGAGGACGGUCCGCCUGGGAGGAUGGCCCACCAAGGAGGACGGUCCGCCAGGGAGGACUCCGCCAGGGAGGACGGUGCCCGCCAGGGAGGACGGCCCGCCUGGGAGGAUGGCGCACCAAGGAGGAUGGCCCACCAGGGAGGACUGC